UUGAAAUAACUGGCUCUGUUCCAUAAAGUGAUUUUAUAUACAUAGCAUUGGCAUAACUUCAUUGAAAAACGGUGUUGAAUUGCAAAUUGGAUAUUAGAAACGGAAAUGUCUGACGAAGAGGUUAUUAAAGUAGCUUCGACAGUAGGGACAGCUCCGCUGUGGGUGCCGGUAGCUGCCGCAGGUGGCCUUGUUUAUGGUGCAGGAAAAGGUCUCGAUGCUGCAAAUGACUUCGGGAAGGAGAACGGACCUCUAGCUGGUAUAGCAGCAGCUCCGUUCAUUGUUGGUGCCAACAUUAUAGCUGGUCCAUUCAGAGGUAUCAAGAAAGUGGGCGAUGUUAUGAUAGGGAAAAAGAAGAAAAAGUAAACUUUGUAUUAUCAAGCACUGUUUGAGGAAUGGCUUGUAUGAAGUACCAGUCGGAUUACUAUAUCACUUUUUUAUAUCUCUACCUGAUUCUUUUCAAUUAAUUUUCAGAUUAAUUAAUCUUUAAUUCAUCACAGUCUAAUCAGUGCAUAUAUACAAUACAUGUGUCGUCUGCUAGCGUUUCAUUUUUUUAGAAAGGUUUUUUAUAAUUAUACACAGACUCAAUUGCAUAAUACAGUAUCAAAUAAAUUUCGACGUUUUGAAUAACAUUAUGACAACCAGACAAGACCAAAUACAUAAACAUUUGGAAUGAAGACCAAUGGAAUGUUUUUGAAGUGUUGUUCCUAUCCCAUUGAAGAUAUCAUGUAACCAUGUCCUAAUCACAGCUUUAGUUAAUCUUUGAUAUUGUUUAAUAUGUAUAUGUCGGUCUAGAUCUUAGAAACAUAUGUUGCAAACAUUAUAUCUCGUCUUGUUUGUUACUUUAUUUAAUAAAUAUUAAAUUUAAUUGA